rnacentral:rRNA from 1 species
UACGUAGGUGGCAAGCGUUGUCCGGAUUUACUGGGCGUAAAGAGCGCGCAGGCGGUCGUUCAAGUCGCGUGUGAAAGCCCCCGGCUCAACUGGGGAGGGUCACGCGAUACUGAUCGACUCGAAGGCAGGAGAGGGUAGUGGAAUUCCCGGUGUAGUGGUGAAAUGCGUAGAUAUCGGGAAGAACACCAGUGGCGAAGGCGAGUCCCUGGACGAUACCUGACACUGAGGCACGAAAGCUAGGGGAGCAAACAGG